rnacentral:rRNA from 1 species
AAACAUGUCUAUUUGGAGAUAUAAAUAGUCUGGCCUGCUCACUGACUGGAAUAAUUGUUUAAGAGCCGCGGUAUAUUGACCGUGCAAAGGUAGCAUAAUCAUUAGUUUUUUAAUUGAAAACUUGUAUGAAGGGUCGGACAAAGGGAAAGCUGUCUCUGUUUUAAAAGUUGAAGUUAACUUUUAAGUGAAAAGGCUUAAAUAGUUCAAGGGGACGAUAAGACCCUAUAAAGCUUUAUGUGUUAAUUAAAUUUAAUUGAAUUUGUUAAUAAAGAUUUAGUUUGGUUAUCAUAUUUUGUUGGGGCGAUAUAAGUAAAAUUUUUAUUAACUACUUAAGGUUAAUACAAAGAUGAAUGGGUAGAAUUGUAGUUGAUCCUUCUUAGAGAUUAAAAGACUAAGUUACUUUAGGGAUAACAGCGUGAUUUCUUUUGAGAGCCCAUAUCGAAAAAGAAGUUUGCGACCUCGAUGUUGAAUUAAAAUGUCUGUAUAAUGUAGCCGUUAUAUAAGAAGGUCUGUUCGACCUUUGAAAUUUUACGUGA